rnacentral:lncRNA from 1 species
CCUCCACAGCCCUGGUUCCGGGGGCCCAGAGAGGAUGCUACGGGAAGGAGAUAAACCGGUGUGGCCAAGUAAGCGCCACAAGCGCAGGGCAGGCGAAGGGUAAGCGGGGAGGAAACCACCUGGGAGGGCCCCUGUCGGCCGGCCAUUGGUCGGUGUUCAGACGGACGGUUCCUCCCGCCCCACGUGGAUAGCCUCUAUCGAGGGAGCCCCUGUCGAAGACGGCCUCCCGUCUUAUUGACAAGCUUCAACCGCGCCCCGUUCGAGCGAGAUAAAGAGGGAGAGGGAGUGGACAUUUUCUCCUUGAGAGGGGACUCCGGAUGGGAAAGAGAGAGAGAGAAGGGCCUUCCCAUUUUGAUAGGUGAUUUCUCCUUAGUAGGAGAUAGAGAGAGUGGCCUCCCACAUCGAGAGGUGUUUUCUCCCUAGUAGGAGAUAUAGAGAAUAGCUAUUCACCUUACAUAUGAUUUCCCCCGAGUAGGGGAUAGAGAGAAUGGCCUUUUCACCUUGACAGGUGUUUUCUCCUUAGUAGGAGACAUAGAGAAUAGCUAUUCACCUGACUUAUGAGGUAUCCUAGUAGGGGAUGGAGAGAAUGGCCUACUCACAUUGACAGGGUUUCUCCUUAGUAGGAGACAUAGAGAAUAGCUAUCCAUCUGACUUAUGAGGUAUCCUAGUAGGGGAUGGAGAGAAUGGCCUACUCACAUUGACGGUGUUUUCUCCUUAGUAGGAGACAUAGAGAAUAGCUAUUCACCUGACUUAUGAGGUAUCCUAGUAGGGGAUGGAGAGAAUGGCCUACUCACAUUGACAGGGCUUCUCCUUAGUAGGAGACAUAGAGAAUAGCUAUCCAUCUGACUUAUGAGGUAUCCUAGUAGGGGAUGGAGAGAAUGGCCUACUCACAUUGACGGUGUUUCUCCCUAGUAGGAGACAUAGAGAAUAGCUAUUCACCUGACACAUGAUUUCUCCUUAGUAGGAGAUAGAGAGGAUGGCCUACACACAUUGACAGGUGUUUUCUCCUUAGUAGGAGAUAUAGAGAACAGCUAUUCACCUGACAUAUGAGCUCUCCCUAAUAGGAGAUAGAGAGGAGGGCCUUCUCACCUAGAGAGGUGUUUUCUCCUUGGUAGGAGAUAUAGAGAAUAGCUAUCCACCCGACUUAGGAGGUAUCCUAGUAGGGGAUGGAGAGAUGGCCUACUCACAUUGACAGGUAUUUUCUCCUCAGUAGGAGAUAUAGAGAAUAGCUAUACAGUGGGCGUUUCCGGACACCGACAGGGCAUACGAUCAGGACCCUCCACAGCCCUGGCUCCGGGGGCCCGGGGAGGAAGCUACGGGAAGGAGAUAAACCGGUGUGGCCAAGUAAGCGCCACAAGCGCAGGGCAGGCGAAGGGUAAGCGGGGAGGAAACCACCUGGGAGGGCCCCUGUCGGCCGGCCAUUGGUCGGUGUUCAGACGGACGGUUCCUCCCGCCCCACGUGGAUAGCCUCUAUCGAGGG